UUUCAGACGACAAUUAUAAAACAUCUAAAUAGACAAUGAACAAGGAUUAACAUAUUAUUAUGCUUAAACAUAAAAAAGGAGGAUCUUGAUUGGGUACAUUUCCAUCUUGGAGAUUGAGUGAAAGAUUCUAAAUCAUACAAAAAUGAUGCCUUAAAAGACUUCUUGUUGCGAGGUUUAUGAUACAUAAAAUCUAGUGAUGUCA
rnacentral:lncRNA from 1 species